rnacentral:rRNA from 1 species
UAAUACGAAGGGCCCGAGCGUUAAUCGGAAUCACUGGGCUUAAAGCGUGCGCAGGCGGACCAGUAAGUAUCUUGUGAAAUCCCUCGGCUCAACCGAGGAACUGCUUGGUAUACUGCUGGUCUUGAGCGUGGUAAAGGCGGUCGGAACGAUAGGUGGAGCGGUGAAAUGCGUAGAUAUCUAUCGGAACGCCGAAGGUGAAGACAGGCCGCUGGGCCACUGCUGACGCUCAGGCACGAAAGCGUGGGGAGCGAACGGGAUUAGAUACCCCGGUAGUCCACGCCCUAAACGAUGUGCACUGGGUCCGGGAAGUACUGACGCUCUCCGGAUCGAAGGAAAACCAUUAAGUGCACCGCCUGGGGAGUACGGUCGCAAGGCUAAAACUCAAAUGAUUUNGGACGGGGGCUCACACAAGCGGUGGAGCAUGUGGCUUAAUUCGAAGCAACGCGAAGAACCUUAUCCUGGAAUUGACAUGUAUGAAUUAGCGUAUGGAAACAUGCGUGACGCGGCUUGCCGUGGAACAUACACAGGUG